GACGAGCGCUGGCGGCGUGCUUAACACAUGCAAGUCGAACGGAAAGGCCCUGCUUUUGUGGGGUGCUCGAGUGGCGAACGGGUGAGUAACACGUGAGUAACCUGCCCUUGACUUUGGGAUAACUUCAGGAAACUGGGGCUAAUACCGGAUAGGAGCUCCUGCUGCAUGGUGGGGGUUGGAAAGUUUCGGCGGUUGGGGAUGGACUCGCGGCUUAUCAGCUUGUUGGUGGGGUAGUGGCUUACCAAGGCUUUGACGGGUAGCCGGCCUGAGAGGGUGACCGGCCACAUUGGGACUGAGAUACGGCCCAGACUCCUACGGGAGGCAGCAGUGGGGAAUAUUGCACAAUGGGCGGAAGCCUGAUGCAGCAACGCCGCGUGCGGGAUGACGGCCUUCGGGUUGUAAACCGCUUUCGCCUGUGACGAAGCGUGAGUGACGGUAAUGGGUAAAGAAGCACCGGCUAACUACGUGCCAGCAGCCGCGGUGAUACGUAGGGUGCGAGCGUUGUCCGGAUUUAUUGGGCGUAAAGGGCUCGUAGGUGGUUGAUCGCGUCGGAAGUGUAAUCUUGGGGCUUAACCCUGAGCGUGCUUUCGAUACGGGUUGACUUGAGGAAGGUAGGGGAGAAUGGAAUUCCUGGUGGAGCGGUGGAAUGCGCAGAUAUCAGGAGGAACACCAGUGGCGAAGGCGGUUCUCUGGGCCUUUCCUGACGCUGAGGAGCGAAAGCGUGGGGAGCGAACAGGCUUAGAUACCCUGGUAGUCCACGCUGUAAACGGUGGGUACUAGGUGUGGGGUCCAUUCCACGGGUUCCGUGCCGUAGCUAACGCUUUAAGUACCCCGCCUGGGGAGUACGGCCGCAAGGCUAAAACUCAAAGGAAUUGACGGGGCCCCGCACAAGCGGCGGAGCAUGCGGAUUAAUUCGAUGCAACGCGUAGAACCUUACCUGGGUUUGACAUGGAUCGGGAGCGCUCAGAGAUGGGUGUGCCUCUUUUGGGGUCGGUUCACAGGUGGUGCAUGGCUGUCAUCAGCUCGUGUCGUGAGAUGUUGGGUUAAGUCCCGCAACGAGCGCAACCCUUGUUCACUGUUGCCAGCACGUUAUGGUGGGGACUCAGUGGAGACCGCCGGGGUCAACUCGGAGGAAGGUGGGGAUGACGUCAAGUCAUCAUGCCCCUUAUGUCCAGGGCUUCACGCAUGCUACAAUGGCUGGUACAGAGAGUGGCGAGCCUGUGAGGGUGAGCGAAUCUCGGAAAGCCGGUCUCAGUUCGGAUUGGGGUCUGCAACUCGACCUCAUGAAGUCGGAGUCGCUAGUAAUCGCAGAUCAGCAACGCUGCGGUGAAUACGUUCCCGGGGCU
rnacentral:rRNA from 1 species